rnacentral:rRNA from 1 species
CCCUUAGAUGUUCUGGGCCGCACGCGCGCUACACUGACUGACUCAACGAGUGUACAACCUGCUUCGACAGAAGUGGGUAAUCUUUUGAAAUUCAGUCGUGAUGGGGCUAGAUUAUUGCAACUAUUAAUCUUCAACGAGGAAUGCCUAGUAAGCGCGAAUCAUCAGUUCGCGUUGAUUACGUCCCUGCCCUUUGUACACACCGCCCGUCGCUCCUACCGAUUGAAUGGUCCGGUGAAUUAUUCGGACUGUAACGCAUUCAGUUCUGGAUGCAGUUACGGGAAGUUUUGUGAACCUUACCACUUAGAGGAAGGAGAAGUCGUAACA